UACGAAGGGGGCUAGCGUUGCUCGGAAUCACUGGGCGUAAAGGGCGCGUAGGCGGCCAUUCAAGUCAGAGGUGAAAGCCCAAGGCUCAACCUUGGAACUGCCUUUGAUACUGUUUGGCUUGAGACCGGUAGAGGUAAGUGGAACUGCGAGUGUAGAGGUGAAAUUCGUAGAUAUUCGCAAGAACACCAGUGGCGAAGGCGGCUCACUGGCCCGGUACUGACGCUGAGGUGCGAAAGCGUGGGGAGCAAACAGG
rnacentral:rRNA from 1 species